GAUGUGUGGCAUAGUGGUUUGAGCGUUGGACUACAAGUCUGGAGACUAGGGUUCAGUUCCCUGCUCAGACA